rnacentral:rRNA from 1 species
UACGAAGGGUGCAAGCGUUAAUUGGAAUUACUGGGCGUAAAGCGCGCGUAGGUGGUUCAGUAAGUUGGAAGUGAAAUCCCCGGGCUCAACCUGGGAACUGCUUUCAAAACUGCUGAGCUAGAGUACGGUAGAGGGUGGUGGAAUUUCCUGUGUAGCGGUGAAAUGCGUAGAUAUAGGAAGGAACACCAGUGGCGAAGGCGACCACCUGGACUGAUACUGACACUGAGGUGCGAAAGCGUGGGGAGCAAACAGG